rnacentral:rRNA from 1 species
CCUACGGGUGGCAGCAGUGGGGAAUAUUGCACAAUGGGCGCAAGCCUGAUGCAGCCAUGCCGCGUGUAUGAAGAAGGCCUUCGGGUUGUAAAGUACUUUCAGCGGGGAGGAAGGCGAUGUGGUUAAUAACCGCAUUGAUUGACGUUACCCGCAGAAGAAGCACCGGCUAACUCCGUGCCAGCAGCCGCGGUAAUACGGAGGGUGCAAGCGUUAAUCGGAAUUACUGGGCGUAAAGCGCACGCAGGCGGUCUGUUAAGUCAGAUGUGAAAUCCCCGGGCUUAACCUGGGAACUGCAUUUGAAACUGGCAGGCUUGAGUCUCGUAGAGGGGGGUAGAAUUCCAGGUGUAGCGGUGAAAUGCGUAGAGAUCUGGAGGAAUACCGGUGGCGAAGGCGGCCCCCUGGACGAAGACUGACGCUCAGGUGCGAAAGCGUGGGGAGCA